CGAAUCGCCAGGCCUCCCUCUCUCUGACCAGAUAAUCUUUAAAGUGUAUAUUUGCAACGGCGUGAUAGUAUGCCAUUGUGGUCUUUAGUUAGUGUCCCCUGUAUAUACUACUAUGAAGAUUAACAAUGUGUCACUUUUAGGAAAAGCAUUGUGUCUUCCAGGACAACUGUCUCCCUGAAGAUGAUCAGUGGAACCAGACUUAAAAGUACUCUAGCCACUACAUGCAAAACAGCAGGACUACACAAAAAUAGCCAACUGCAGUCUGUGGGUACUGCGAUUUCUCUCAGCCCAGGAGACCUGGCAUCUGGUUCCAGCAUUGCCCCUUCAUUUGUGUAUACUUGGGAAGCCACUGGCCUCUCUUGGAAGUCCCAGGCCUUGGCUUUGUAUACUUGCUGAGAAAUUGGCUUGACCAAAUGAUUUCCAAAUGACUCCUUUUAAACCUAAGUUGCUUUAUUUAUUUAUUUUGGUUUUUCAAAU
rnacentral:lncRNA from 1 species